AUGAAUAUAUGAAAAAGGUUCCAACAGAGUGAGAGGAUGAGUUUCGAAGCCUCUAAAUCAUCUAACGCCAUCUUUGAUAGCCAUGUUAAUACAAAAAAUUUCCUUAGUCUCUCCCGUGCGCUCCCCUUGGGUUCCGGUGUGAAAUAGAAAAGUAAAAUUGACGGAACUCCACUGGAGAGACCCUUUGACUCGGCCAUGGAGGAUGACGACAACAUUGCGUCUGGAAUACCUAACUCAGGAGCGAAUGACUUCAUGCAGGUCUGAUUUUGGUCUUUGAACCUCAUCCCUCUAUCGUUUUGUUAUCCAUAAAUAUUAUUACUUUGAAAUUAUUGUGGGGCUGGUGGGAGAAGGUUUACUGAUGAAUCCAUAUUUAACAUAUAUUUUGGUUUUAUUUGAGUGGAUUUCAUCACAUAAAUUUACAUUUAUUCAUCUAAAUAGCAUAUUUUUAUGUUUUCUCCGUAAAUUAAGCUUAAUUGUGAAAACAUGUUAUUUUGGGCUUAAUUUAAUCAAUUUUAUCCCACUUUCAUUCUAUUGGAUGUCUUGAUGGUUUUGAUGAGUGAUUUCAGGUGUAAUAGGUUAGAAUGACUUGAUAAGAGUGGAAGAAAAGCAUGGAAUUGAGAGAAAACAUGAAGAAAUCAAAGGAAAGAAGCAUUUCAGCCUGUGCCCACGCACAUCUUCUGUGCCCAUGCACAAGGGUCAAAAUCAGCAUCUGUACCCACGCACAGAAUAAAAAUCAGCAAGUGUGCUCAUGCACAGCUUCGCUGUGCAUACGCAUAGGAGGAAAAUCAGCAUGUGUACGUACGCACAAGUCUCAGCACGUGACUCACUUAAUGCAAAUUGUUGGGGGCGAUUUCUGAGCCUCUAGAGCCCAAUUUUGGGACUCUCUAAAGCUAAUUCUUGCUAUAUCAAAGGAGGCCUCAUUCCAUGUGAAGGAGGGGGAGGGGGAGAAAUUAGGGUUAGUUUAGCAUUAUGUAGGUUGUUUUCUAGAGAGAGAAGCUCCUCCUUCUCUCUAGAAUUAGAGUUUCUUAGUUUAAUUUCCUUGUAAUUUCUACUUUUAAUUCUUGUUUUCAUCUAAUUUCUUCUACCUUUCUUUAUUUUAUUGUCUUAAUUUCCUUAUGUUAUCUUGUCAAUUUCUCAUUUUCCCUACUUUUUAUAUUUAUGAGCACUCUUGUUAUUUUAAUUUAUAUUUAAUGCAAUUUAUGUUUCAUGUCCUUUA
rnacentral:lncRNA from 1 species